rnacentral:rRNA from 1 species
AUUGAACGCUGGCGGCAGGCCUAACACAUGCAAGUCGAGCGGAUGGAGGGAGCUUGCUCCUGGAUUCAGCGGCGGACGGGUGAGUAAUGCCUAGGAAUCUGCCUGGUAGUGGGGGAUAACGUCCGGAAACGGGCGCUAAUACCGCAUACGUCCUGAGGGAGAAAGUGGGGGAUCUUCGGACCUCACGCUAUCAGAUGAGCCUAGGUCGGAUUAGCUAGUUGGUGGGGUAAAGGCCUACCAAGGCGACGAUCCGUAACUGGUCUGAGAGGAUGAUCAGUCACACUGGAACUGAGACACGGUCCAGACCCCUACGGGAGGCAGCAGUGGGGAAUAUUGGACAAUGGGCGAAAGCCUGAUCCAGCCAUGCCGCGUGUGUGAAGAAGGUCUUCGGAUUGUAAAGCACUUUAAGUUGGGAGGAAGGGCAGUAAGUUAAUACCUUGCUGUUUUGACGUUACCAACAGAAUAAGCACCGGCUAACUUCGUG